rnacentral:rRNA from 1 species
AUGCACGCUGGCCGCGUGCCUAAUACAUGCAAGUCGCGCGAACGGACGAGAAGCUUGCUUCUCUGAUGUUAGCGGCGGACGGGUGAGUAACACGUGGAUAACCUACCUAUAAGACUGGGAUAAUUUCGGGAAACCGGAGCUAAUACCGGAUAAUAUUUUGAACCGCAUGGUUCAAAAGUGAAAGACGGUCUUGCUGUCACUUAUAGAUGGAUCCGCGCUGCAUUAGCUAGUUGGUAAGGUAACGGCUUACCAAGGCAACGAUGCAUAGCCGACCUGAGAGGGUGAUCGGCCACACUGGAACUGAGACACGGUCCAGACUCCUACGGGAGGCAGCAGUAGGGAAUCUUCCGCAAUGGGCGAAAGCCUGACGGAGCAACGCCGCGUGAGUGAUGAAGGUCUUCGGAUCGUAAAACUCUGUUAUUAGGGAAGAACAUAUGUGUAAGUAACUGUGCACAUCUUGACGGUACCUAAUCAGAAAGCCACGGCUAACUACGUG